AAAUAUUCUAAGAUAACAAUGAAAUCAAAUGAUACUAGUCCUUAGCUUUGGAAGUCAUUGAAAAUAGGGCUAAAACUGACAUUCUUGGUAUUUAAAACCCAGAAGAUCUUUCCCUAGGUUUAGAGAAAAGGGGUUCUGAAUAAAUAUAUUCACUUCUAGCAUGUGGGAGAGAGAAUAUGCAAUUUGAAAAAAAAAAACAAAAACAAAAACCAUAACCUAAACUAGAAGUUUCAAAAGUCCAGAGAUUGUUUCAUUCACUAAAUAUCCCGGGGAAAUAGCUAUGAAUAUUUAAUAAUAGCAGAAACUACUUGCACUGUGCAAGUCAUCAGGUCAAACAGAAAUUCUGUGAACUUUGAAUUUUCCCUGGAAAUGAUCAAGAGACCAGAAGCUCAGUGGCAAUGAGCACCAGAAGUUUCUGUCUGUAAACACGAAAGUGGGGGAGUCGUCAAAGAUUAUGCAUGGGUAGGAGCAACCCAACCAUUUCUGGUCUUCAUUGUGAACUGUCUUACUAAGUGGCUUUCACACUUCAUACCUCAGCUCUUGUGAUAAAUAUGACCAUUAAUGAUGUUUUAAAUGGUGGUAAAGAUAUUUGCAAAUGUCCUGUGUGCUAUGUAGUUUAAAUUUUCUUUGCAGAUUUGAGUUUUGUUUUAGAAGAAAAUCACAAAAUGUUUACAAUAUAGAUUGGAAACCACAUCGAAUAUGCAUAAAACAGUUGGAGAAUAAUCAAAUGGUAAACUCUGCCACAGAGUUUCCCUACGCCAAAGCAUUUCAGAGAAGAAAGGAGACCCGGAGAGAUCCCAUGAUCCUUUCAGGACUGCACAAAUUCAAAACAAUUUCCAUAAUAACACUAACAUGGCAUUUUAUGUUUUUACUCUUAUAUCCUCACAAGUAUACAGUUGAGAUCUUUGGAAAAUAUAUGAUGUGGGAUAUUGCAACAAAUUGAAUCCAGAAUCAGAUAAGAAAAUCCAGCUGUCUUCUAUUAAACCAGACAUUAAAGAGAUUUGUGAAAAUGUAAAACAAUGCCAUUCUCAGUAAAAAUGUUUUUGAUUUGAGCAUUAAAAGUCUUCUUAUUAAAAAAAAUACGUUUACAUUUACAUGUAAUUGAUUUAUUAUUGUUGUUUUAAAGGAAUACAUAAACACAUAUUUUAAGAUUUUCCCAGUUUUUAAUUUUGUAAACAAUAAAUGUAAAUAAC
rnacentral:lncRNA from 1 species